GUGAAAAUAUAUAUUUAUUUUCAAAUUUGAUUCCAGUUGACGUUAGUCAGCAGCCUUUGUUCUGCUUACAAGUAUUUUUCUGGUACAGUGGUUGUAUGUUUCUCAAGCCGCAGUUGUCGUGUUAUCGUCAUUAUCUACACUGGCACAGACUGUGACCAGGUGUUGUUGCUAUUGGUUACAAUUUACAAUACCUGGGGUAAGUAGCCUUGUGCAUAGCAUAAACUUAGCUGCAAUUCUAGUCAUCCCAAUGGUUGGAUAAAACUACUUCAUCAGUUCAUGGGUAAAUAAACAGCAAAACCUUGGUUGGAAGAGAUGCAACUAGCCAAAAAAUACAAGGAGAA